AAGAGUUUAGUUUAACGGUUAAAACAUCGAUCUUACACAUCGAGGACAGAGGUUCGAUUCCUCUAAUUCUUA
rnacentral:tRNA from 2 species